rnacentral:rRNA from 1 species
UACAUGUGGGGCAAGCGUUGUUCGGAAUUACUGGGCAUAAAGGGUGCGUAGGCGGUUUGUUAAGUCAGGGGUGAAAGUUUUCGGCCCAACCGGAAAAUGGCCUUUGAUACUGGCGAACUCGAGUGCGUGAGGGGUAACCGGAACGAGUGGUGUAGCGGUGAAAUGCGUAGAUAUCACUCGGAAGGCCAAAGGCGAAGGCAGGUUACUGGUACGCAACUGACGCUGAGGCACGAAAGCGUGGGGAGCAAACAGG